UUCGAAUAUACUAAUGAUAUAUAUUUAUAUGUAUGAUAUGGGACGUUCUUGCAUUAUUAUAUGGUCUAGAACUUGCAUAUGGAUCCAUCUAAUUAUUCGACUUAAUAUUUUUGUUUUUGCUAAACUGUAAAUAUCAUGUUAUUAAUGAGAAUGAUUACAUGUUAACAAAAAAAAAAUGAGAAUGAUUACAUAUGUAGAAUUUUAAGUCCG
rnacentral:lncRNA from 1 species